GAAGCAUUGUGAGUGUCGGUGACCCAAAGAAAAAAUACACAAGAUUUGAAAAAAUAGGCCAAGGGGCAUCAGGUACUGUUUACACAGCGCUAGACAUUGCCACCGGACAAGAGGUGGCCAUAAAGCAGAUGAACCUUCAACAGCAGCCCAAAAAGGAAUUAAUUAUUAAUGAAAUUCUGGUCAUGAGGGAAAAUAAGAACCCCAAUAUUGUUAAUUAUUUAGAUAGG